GAUGAAGAACGUAGCGAAAUGCGAUACGUAAUGUGAAUUGCAGAAUUCAGUGAAUCAUCGAAUCUUUGAACGCAUAUUGCGCUCUUUGGUAUCCGAAGAGCAUGCUUGUUUGAGUAUCAGUAAACACCUCAACCUCUUCUUGAUUUUUCAAAAGGAGGGUGGACUUGAGCUAUCCCAACAACCUUUACCGGUCGGCGGGCGGCUUGAAAUGCAGGUGCAGCUGGACUUUUAUCUGAGCUAAAAGCAUAUCUAUUUAGUCCUCGUCAAACAGGAUUAUUACUUUUGCUGCAGCUAACAUAAAGGAUAAUUGUCCUCUUUGCUGACUGAUGCAGGAUUUUACGACACUUUAUGUGUUGUUCAACUCGAUCUCAAAUCAAGUAAGACUACCCGCUGAACUUAAGCAUAUCAAUAAGCGGAGGA
rnacentral:misc_RNA from 1 species